rnacentral:rRNA from 1 species
AUGCCAGAAGAAUGGAGACGAAGUAUAUUAGUACCAAUCUUCAAGAACAAGGGGGAUGUUCAGAGUUGUACUAAUUACCGUGGAAUUAAGCUGAUGAGCCAUACAAUGAAGCUAUGGGAGAGAGUCAUUGAGCACCGCUUAAGAAGAAUGACAAGCGUGACCAAAAACCAGUUUGGUUUCAUGCCUGGGAGGUCGACCAUGGAAGCCAUUUUCUUGGUACGACAGCUUAUGGAGAGAUAUAGGGAGCAAAAGAAGGACUUGCAUAUGGUGUUCAUUGACUUGGAGAAGGCCUAUGAUAAGAUACCGCGGAAUGUCAUGUGGUGGGCCUUGGAGAAACACAAAGUCCCAGCAAAGUACAUUACCCUCAUCAAGGACAUGUACGGUAAUGUUGUGACAAGUGUUCGAACAAGUGAUGUCGACACUGAUGACUUCCCAAUUAAGAUAGGACUGCAUCAGGGGUCAUCUUUGAGCCCUUAUCUUUUUGCAUUGGUGAUGGAUGAGGUCACAAGGGAUAUACAAGGAGAUAUCCCAUGGUGUAUGCUCUUUGCGGAUGAUGUGGUGCUAGUUGACGAUAGUCGGGCGGGGGUAAAUAGGAAGUUAGAGUUAUGGAGACAAACCUUGGAAUCGAAAGGGUUUAGGCUUAGUAGGACUAAAAUCGAGUACAUGAUGUGCGGUUUCAGUACUACUAGGUGUGAGGAGGAGGAGGUUAGCCUUGAUGGUCAGGUGGUACCUCGGAAGGACACCUUUCGGUAUUUGGGGUCAAUGCUGCAGGAGGAUGGGGGUAUUGAUGAAGAUGUGAACCAUCGGAUCAAAGCCGGAUGGAUGAAGUGGCGCCAAGCUUCUGGCAUUCUCUGUGACAAGAGAGUGCCACAAAAGCUAAAAGGCAAGUUCUACAGGACGGCGGUUCGACCCACAAUGUUGUAUGGCGCUGAGUGUUGGCCGACUAAAAGGCGAUAUGUUCAACAGUUAGUUGUGGCGGAGAUGCGUAUGUUGAGAUGGAUGUGUGGCCACACGAGGAAGGAUCGAGUCCGGAAUGAUGAUAUACGAGAUAGAGUUGGGGUAGCACCAAUUGAAGAGAAGCUUGUCCAACAUCGUGUGAGAUGGUUUGGGCAUAUCCAGCGCAGGCCUCCAGAAGCUCCAGUGCAUAGCGGAUGGCUAAAGCGUGCGGAGAAUGUCAAGAGAGGGCGGGGUAGACCGAAUUUGACAUGGGAGGAGUCCGUUAAGAGAGACCUGAAGGAUUGGGGUAUCACCGAAGAGCUAGCUAUGGACAGGGGUGCAUGGAAGCUUGCUAUCCAUGUGCCAGAGCCAUGA